AUUGAACGCUGGCGGCAGGCCUAACACAUGCAAGUCGAACGAGUGGCGGACGGGUGAGUAAUGUCUGGGAACCUGCCUGAUGGAGGGGGAUAACUACUGUAAACGGUAGCUAAUACCGCAUACCAUCGGAUGUGCCCAGAUGGGAUUAGCUAUGGGGUGGGGUAAAGGCUCACCUAGGCGACGAUACCUAUCUGAUCUGAGAGGAUGACCAGCCACACGUGAACUGAGACACGGUCCAGACGCCAACGGGAGGCAGCAGUGGGGAAUAUUGGACAAUGGGCGAAAGCCUGAUGAAGCCAUGCCGCGUGGAUGAAGAAGGUCUGCGGGUUGUAAAGUACUUUCAGCGGGGAGGCGUUAACUGCAGAGGAAGCGCCGGCUAACUCCGUGCCAGCAGCCGCGGUAAUAC
rnacentral:rRNA from 1 species